rnacentral:rRNA from 1 species
UACAGAGGGUGCGAGCGUUAAUCGGAAUUACUGGGCGUAAAGCGCGCGUAGGCGGCUUUGCAAGUCGGGUGUGAAAUCCCCAGGCUUAACCUGGGAACUGCAUUCGAGACUGCAUUGCUAGAGUAUGGGAGAGGUAAGCGGAAUUCCUGGUGUAGCGGUGAAAUGCGUAGAUAUCAGGAGGAACACCUGCGGUGUAGACGGCUUACUGGACCAUAACUGACGCUGAGGCACGAAAGCGUGGGUAGCAAACAGG